rnacentral:rRNA from 1 species
GACGAACGCUGGCGGCGUGCUUAACACAUGCAAGUCGAACGGAAAGGCCCUGCUUUUGUGGGGUGCUCGAGUGGCGAACGGGUGAGUAGCACGUGAGUAACCUGCCCUUGACUUUGAGAUAACUUCAGGAAACUGGGGCUAAUACCGGAUAGGAGCUCCUGCUGCAUGGUGGGGGUUGGAAAGUUUCGGCGGUUGGGGAUGGACUCGCGGCUUAUCAGCUUGUUGGUGGGGUAGUGGCUUACCAAGGCUUUGACGGGUAGCCGGCCUGAGAGGGUGACCGGCCACAUUGGGACUGAGAUACGGCCCAGACUCCUACGGGAGGCAGCAGUGGGGAAUAUUGCACAAUGGGCGGAAGCCUGAUGCAGCAACGCCGCGUGCGGGAUGACGGCCUUCGGGUUGUAAACCGCUUUCGCCUGUGACGAAGCGUGAGUGACGGUAAUGGGUAAAGAAGCACCGGCUAACUACGUG